AGAACGAACGCUGGCGGCACGCCUAACACAUGCAAGUCGAGCGCCCAGCAAUGGGAGCGGCGGACGGGUGAGUAACACGUGGGAAUAUGCCUUUCGGUACGGAACAACUCAGGGAAACUUGAGCUAAUGCCGUAUACGCCCUUACGGGGAAAGAUUUAUCGCCGAAAGAUUAGCCCGCGUCUGAUUAGCUAGUUGGUGAGGUAAUGGCUCACCAAGGCUUCGAUCAGUAGCUGGUUUGAGAGAACGACCAGCCACACUGGGACUGAGACACGGCCCAGACUCCUACGGGAGGCAGCAGUGGGGAAUCUUGGACAAUGGGGGAAACCCUGAUCCAGCGAUGCCGCGUGAGUGAUGAAGGCCUUCGGGUUGUAAAACUCUUUCGACGGGGACGAUAAUGACGGUACCGUAGAAGAAGCUCCGGCUAACUUCGCGCCAGCAGCCGC
rnacentral:rRNA from 1 species